rnacentral:lncRNA from 1 species
GAGCAGAACCAGGUCUGCAGUCCUGUGGAAAUUUAUGGACAUCUGAACUGCUGAAAUUUAAACAGAUUCAAAGAAAGAAGAACCUGACAGAAUCAGUGUUACAUUUCAGGAACUACCAGUCACUUGUCCAGAGGAAGAAUUAGAAUGAUAUUCAGAGUGUUUGGAAACAGAGGCAAAAGGGCAAGAGGUGUCCACAAUUACAAAAUUACAGUAAGUACACAAAUUGAUGACCGUAUUAAAGUUUAUUAUAUUAUCUUAUGGGUACUUAACUGAAGCAGUAUUUAGGAAGCCAUAUUUAGAAUGCACUUCAAGGAACUAGAGCUUAGGAACUAUGAACAAAAAACUAGAACCAUGACCUAAAGAACCACAGUGAACUUUUUAAGGCAUAAGCAGUGUAAGAGAAGCCAAGCCUUGCUUCAUGGAAAAGGAAGAAUGGAUUGAAGAGAUGAGAAGAACACAAUGAAAC